rnacentral:rRNA from 1 species
UAGUAACGCCCGGCGGCGUGCCUAAUACAUGCAAGUCGAGCGAACGGACGAGAAGCUUGCUUCUCUGAUGUUAGCGGCGGACGGGUGAGUAACACGUGGAUAACCUACCUAUAAGACUGGGAUAACUUCGGGAAACCGGAGCUAAUACCGGAUAAUAUUUUGAACCGCAUGGUUCAAAAGUGAAAGACGGUCUUGCUGUCACUUAUAGAUGGAUCCGCGCUGCAUUAGCUAGUUGGUAAGGUAACGGCUUACCAAGGCAACGAUGCAUAGCCGACCUGAGAGGGUGAUCGGCCACACUGGAACUGAGACACGGUCCAGACUCCUACGGGAGGCAGCAGUAGGGAAUCUUCCGCAAUGGGCGAAAGCCUGACGGAGCAACGCCGCGUGAGUGAUGAAGGUCUUCGGAUCGUAAAACUCUGUUAUUAGGGAAGAACAUAUGUGUAAGUAACUGUGCACAUCUUGACGGUACCUAAUCAGAAAGCCACGGCUAACUACGUGCCAGCAGCCCGCGGUAAUACGUAGGUGGCAAGCGUUAUCCGGAAUUAUUGGGCGUAAAGCGCGCGUAGGCGGUUUUUUAAGUCUGAUGUGAAAGCCCACGGCUCAACCGUGGAGGGUCAUUGGAAACUGGAAAACUUGAGUGCAGAAGAGGAAAGUGGAAUUCCAUGUGUAGCGGUGAAAUGCGCAGAGAUAUGGAGGAACACCAGUGGCGAAGGCGACUUUCUGGUACUGUACCUGACGCUGAUGUGCGAAAGCGGGGGUGCAAAC